rnacentral:rRNA from 1 species
CAUUACUGUAAGGGAACAUGGGAGUCUUGAGACUGCGUUUUCAACAAUGAGCGUGUGCUCGGCUCUUACUCUUCAUCCACAUACACCUUCUUGUGCACCAUGGGGGACGCUCAAGUCCCCCUUUUUGACAUAAAAACCAAGUUAUAUGCAUGGCAUUUAUGAUACUCUACGGAGUUAAAAAAACAACUUUCAACAACGGAUCUCUUGGCUUUCGCAUCGAUGAAGAACGCAGCGAACGUGCGAAACGUAAUGUGAAUUGCAGAAUUCAGUGAAUCAUCGAAUCUUUGAACGCAUCUUGCGCUCCUUGGUAUUCCGAGGAGCAUGCCUGUUUGAGUGUCGUGAAAUACUCUCAACUCUCGAUCUUUUUUGUGGAUUGGAAGUUGGAUAUGGAUGCUGCUGUGGCAACACGGCUCGUCCUAAAUGCAUUAGCGAUCUGCCUUGGAUCACACAAUGUGAUAAGAAAAAAGCAUUGUUGGGGUCGAGUCAAAGAUGGCUUCUAACUGUCGUAAGACAAAAGCAUAUAUAUGUCAUUUGACCUCAAAUCAGGUAGGACUACCCGCUGAACUUAAGCAUAUCAAUA